CCUACGGGAGGCAGCAGUGAGGAAUAUUGGUCAAUGGGCGCGAGCCUGAACCAGCCAAGUAGCGUGAAGGAUGACUGCCCUACGGGUUGUAAACUUCUUUUAUAAAGGAAUAAAGUGAGCCACGUGUGCCUUUUUGUAUGUACCUUAUGAAUAAGGAUCGGCUAACUCCGUGCCAGCAGCCGCGGUAAUACGGAGGAUCCGAGCGUUAUCCGGAUUUAUUGGGUUUAAAGGGAGCGUAGGUGGAUUGGUAAGUCAGUUGUGAAAGUUUGCGGCUCAACCGUAAAAUUGCAAUUGAAACUGGCAGCCUUGAGUACAGUAGAGGUAGGCGGAAUUCGUGGUGUAGCGGUGAAAUGCUUAGAUAUCACGAAGAACUCCGAUUGCGAAGGCAGCCUACUAGACUGCCACUGACACUGAUGCUCGAAAGUGUGGGUAUCAAACAGGAUUAGAUACCCGAGUAGUC
rnacentral:rRNA from 1 species